rnacentral:rRNA from 2 species
UACGUAGGUGGCAAGCGUUGUCCGGAUUUAUUGGGUUUAAAGGGUGCGUAGGCGGUCUAUUAAGUCAGUGGUGAAAUACUCCAGCUUAACUGGAGGGGUGCCAUUGAUACUGAUGGACUUGAGUCAAGUCGAGGUAGGCGGAAUUGACGGUGUAGCGGUGAAAUGCUUAGAUAUCGUCAAGAACACCAAUAGUGAAGACAGCUUACUGGGCUUAAACUGACGCUGAGGCACGAAAGUGUGGGGAUCAAACAGG